rnacentral:misc_RNA from 1 species
UUGACGGCAUGGGGAGCUGAACUCGGCACAUCGCACCACAUUGGAACACAUCACACACGGUGGCAAUUCUGUGAAGCCCAAAGGUUCCAAGUCACCAUGAGAAAAUUGAAAUGUUCAACUGUAUCACUCAUCCAUAAGCAAUUACUUGUGUUGAAAUUUAUGAGAAGACAUAUGCCUCUGUUAAGUGUCAGGAUCUUUUUUGCUGGGAAGCCAAUUCCUUACUGA